rnacentral:ncRNA from 1 species
AGGGCUGGAAGAGGUGCGUUAUUCAGGUAGCGCGGUUGAGGAGAGCAAACUCCAUUGAUGCCGUAGCGAGGGGAAUUAACGCCGAGAAGCAAGCGUAUUUGCUAGACGUUUACUUCGGGCGACUGGGCUGAAUCCCAGCGACUGUCACCAAUUGCGCAAGGCGCAAGAAUUUUGGUGGAGAGCUUCUGGUCUU